AUCGCUUCUCGGCCUUUUGGCUAAGAUCAAGUGUAGUAUCUGUUCUUAUCAGUUUAAUAUCUGAUACGUUCUCUAUCUGAGAACAACGUAUUAAACGGAUUUUUGAAGCCUAGGAGUUGGAGUAGGAGCUUGCUCCGUCCACUCUACGCAUCGACCUGGUAUUGCAGUGUUUCCAGGACUGGUGCACCCCUC